rnacentral:rRNA from 1 species
AUUGAACGCUGGCGGCAUGCCUUACAUAUGCAAGUCGAACGGUAACAGGUCUUCGGAUGCUGACGAGUGGCGAACGGGUGAGUAAUACAUCGGAACGUGCCUAGUAGUGGGGGAUGACUACUCGAAAGAGUGGCUAAUACCGCAUGAGAUCUAAGGAUGAAAGCAGGGGAUCGCAAGACCUUGUGCUACAAGAGCGGCCGAUGGCAGAUUAGGUAGUUGGUGGGAUAAAAGCUUACCAAGCCGACGAUCUGUAGCUGGUCUGAGAGGACGAUCAGCCACACUGGGAGUGAGACACGGCCCAGACUCCUGCGGGAGGCAGCAGUGGGGAAUUUUGGACAAUGGGCGCAAGCCUGAUCCAGCAAUGCCGCGUGCAGGAUGAAGGCCUUCGGGUUGUAAACUGCUUUUGUACGGAACGAAAAGCCCUGGGUUAAUACCCUGGGGUCAUGACGGUACCGUAAGAAUAAGCACCGGCUAACUACGUGCCAGCCGCCGCCGUAACAC